AAUGUGUACGAGCCUCUAACUGGUACAGUAUCACGCUUCUAUUUAUAGACGCACAUUAAUUUAAAGUUUAAAGGACUUGGGACUAUUGUACGCUUAAAACUGCUGACAGAGUAAAAUAAUGGACAAGAGAAACAGCUUCUGGAGUGAAUUUGAAAGGUCGGCAAGUUCAAAGUCCAGAAGUGAUAAGGAACGAAGAGAUGCCGAAAAAUUAAAGGAAUCACUGGAUAAAGAAAAAGGUUAUGGUAAACAACUCACCAAACAUGUUACAUGUGGAUUUACAAGUAGGCCGAUUGGACCACGUCCGAAAAAAUAAAAAUAAGAAUAGUAAAAGUAAAAGUAAAGCUUAAUUUGUAAUUUUUCUUACAUUUGUUAUUACAUUUACAGUGUAAUUCUGCCAUAUGCAGUAUGUAUAUAUAAACAAGGUAUCACGUUUUCGAAUUAUUGUUCUUUUUUAUCAUUCAUGUCUAACAUUGACCCUUUAUUUACAUCGGGUUUCAUUUUUCUUCAAAACAUUUUUUGGACUUAACAUGCUGUGCUUUUGUGUAAACCAUUAAAGCUAGAUUUCUGGAUACUAAUUUGAAUUUCAUAAUUUUUAUUAUAUAAAGUAGAAGGUCCGGUAAGGGCUAAUUUUGGCCUAAAAUUCGAAGGUCAUCUGAUGAAAGAUUUUUGACAUUUUUUAAACACUCAAGUGCCUACUUCAUUCGAUUCAAAUGGUUUUUGUAAAAGAUUUGGACUGACUUGGUCAUUAAAAACGCUCAAAUUCAAGCUUAAAUAUGAAAAAUCUAUCAAAUAUGCCAUUUAACGUUUAUUUUCAGGUGGUUUUUAUUAAAGGCAGUGCUUUAAUGCCUUUCUGGUUGCCGGGUUAAUCUUUCCUUCCGCGAUAUCCAACUUAUCUACGUGGGGGGUCAUUAGGCUACAAGUAGAUCCGGAAAUGUUGAAUUCUCUCCUCUUCUUUUUGUGAUAUAAAAUGUUUUUUGUUUCAUUUCAUUUACAUUGGGAAAUAAAGAAACGAUCAUUGUG